AGUCUUGCUUUAGCUGUCUUCUUGGGAACUCUAGUACUCGUAUAAUAGUCUUUUGACUGUCAAAAGAUGUUUACGCAUGCACAGUGAGUAUACUGUUGCCUGGAUAAUGGAGGCAGGACGUGCAAGGUUUUUUCCUUGUUUUACCACUUGUUCCAUUGAUUUUUAUAUGCGUCAACUCAACGCCUUGCACUCAUGAAUUUGUGCAAAUUUAUAAUUAUGUUUCUGGGUGUGUAUUUCCUUUCUUGAUUCUAGCUAGUUCGUUUCAGAUUCUAGUUUUUCUAUCCAUGUGGCCAACGGUCUAACUAUUUAAAUUUAGAUUCUAUGACUUUUUUUUGCGGCGAAUAUUCUUUGACUUGUUGCUUGUUGAACUUGCAUUGUUCUUGCUCUCUUUACAAACAAUAACUAUUGUGCAGUAGGACAAAGGUUAUCCAUUGAUUUAUCUUAAUUCUUUGUUUCCCUGCAGAAACCUGGGUGCAACUGAAGUUCCUCGCUGAACUCCGAAGAAAUACCAGGUGAAACCACUACUCAAUUACUUUUGUGUUUUUUUUUCUUUUAGUGUUGACUGAUUUUUAAAUGGUUUUCAUUUCCCUGAUAUUAUUCUAAAAGUAUACGAGUUAUUUGUGUUAUUUUUCAUACCUUUUUGGCCGAGGUUGUAGGUCAUGAAUUUGGUCAGCGCAAGAACAGAACUCGCAGGUAAGUUCAGACCGUGGGGAUUCAUUAGGUCUAUGCUUUGUGUGUUGAAGUAUAUGCAUUGACAUCAGUUACAUUUUUGGUUAGAUACUCGGAGAUGAACUUUACUUCAUCAUGAUGAGUUUGGUCACUGACAAAGUGGACUCGUGGAACCAGCUUUCAGUCUCUACAGAACUAGCACAAUCUAUUGUUAGAGUGGUCAAUUAUAUUGGCGUACAUGUCAGUACUUUCUUAAGACCCAAGUCCUGAGCCCCUGUAUUUUGCUCUGAAACAUUCCAUUCAGCAGGUAUGCACAUUUCUUUUGCAGUUUUCGAGUAGUUGUGAUCGUAGAAUCCGAUACUCGUACCUUCUCCAUUAUUUACUGCAGUUGCCUUGAUUGCAUUGAGAUGUGAAUCUGUACGGUUUUGUUAUAGUACUCGUAUUCUCUAGCAGUUCAGCAAUCACUAGGAAUGCUAACCAAUCUGUAUUCCGAAGUAUAUGUAUUGCGAUCGUGCAUUGUUUCUUCAGCUAUUUACUCCCGUGUAUGCUUGAUGUAAUGCCCGAAAUCAGUGGAUAGGUUCACCAGUGUAAAUCUGUAAUAUCGCUGCUCAUUGCACCCUUGCCAGGUUGGACUUUUCAAGUAAUACAAGACCUUGCUGUAGUCAUGGGUGCUGGCCUGCGGCCUGCCUCUUCUUCCGGGCUUCGGGUUGUUAGGUAAGAUCUCUGUGGUAUAUACGAUAAGCUAUGUUGAUUUUUCAUGGGCUUGCUUUUAUUGAUUGCUUAUGACCUUAGCAGUU
rnacentral:lncRNA from 1 species